UUUUUUUUUAAUUUUAGCAAAAUCAGACAUCCGAGUUAACGGGCGUUAACAGUGGUAACGAAAUCGCUAACUGUAGUUAAAACUUAACCAUAUAAUGUUUACUAUUUAUAUACAAUUUGUUUUCUAAUAAUUAU
rnacentral:sRNA from 1 species